CCUACGGGUGGGCAGCAGUGGGGAAUAUUGGACAAUGGGGGGAACCCUGAUCCAGCCAUGCCGCGUGUGUGAAGAAGGCCCUCGGGUUGUAAAGCACUUUCAGUGAGGAAGAACGCCUGGUGGUUAAUACCCAUCAGGAAAGACAUCACUCACAGAAGAAGCACCGGCUAACUCCGUGCCAGCAGCCGCGGUAAUACGGAGGGUGCGAGCGUUAAUCGGAAUUACUGGGCGUAAAGCGCGCGUAGGUGGCUUGAUAAGCCGGUUGUGAAAGCCCCGGGCUCAACCUGGGAACGGCAUCCGGAACUGUCAAGCUAGAGUGCAGGAGAGGAAGGUAGAAUUCCCGGUGUAGCGGUGAAAUGCGUAGAGAUCGGGAGGAAUACCAGUGGCGAAGGCGGCCUUCUGGACUGACACUGACACUGAGGUGCGAAAGCGUGGGUAGCAAACAGGAUUAGAUACCCCAGUAGUC
rnacentral:rRNA from 1 species